rnacentral:rRNA from 1 species
CUGCUGCCUUCCGUAGGAGUUUGGGCCGUGUCUCAGUCCCAAUGUGGCCGGUCACCCUCUCAGGUCGGCUACUGAUCGUCGCCUUGGUGGGCCGUUACCCCUCCAACUAGCUAAUCAGACGCGGGUCCAUCUCAUACCACCGGAGUUUUUCACACAAGAACAUGCAUCCUCGUGCGCUUAUGCGGUAUUAGCAGUCAUUUCUAACUGUUAUCCCCCUGUAUGAGGCAGGUUACCCACGCGUUACUCACCCGUCCG